rnacentral:pre_miRNA from 1 species
CUACUACUCCCUCCGUCCGAAAAUACUUGUCAUUGGAAUGGAUGUAUCUAGAUGUAUUUUAGUUCUAGACACAUCCAUUUUGAUGACAAGUAAUUCCGGACGGAGGGAGUAUUAU